AGGGUUCGAUUCUGGCUCAGGAUGAACGCUGGCGGCGUGCUUAACACAUGCAAGUCGAACGGGAUCCCAGGAGCUUGCUCCUGGGUGAGAGUGGCGAACGGGUGAGUAAUGCGUGACCGACCUGCCCCAUACACCGGAAUAGCUCCUGGAAACGGGUGGUAAUGCCGGAUGCUCCAGUUGGAUGCAUGUCCUUCUGGGAAAGAUUCAUCGGUAUGGGAUGGGGUCGCGUCCUAUCAGCUUGAUGGCGGGGUAACGGCCCACCAUGGCUUCGACGGGUAGCCGGCCUGAGAGGGCGACCGGCCACAUUGGGACUGAGAUACGGCCCAGACUCCUACGGGAGGCAGCAGUGGGGAAUAUUGGGCAAUGGGCGCAAGCCUGACCCAGCAACGCCGCGUGAAGGAAGAAGGCUUUCGGGUUGUAAACUUCUUUUAAGAGGGAAGAGCAGAAGACGGUACCUCUAGAAUAAGCCACGGCUAACUACGUGCCAGCAGCCGCGGUAAUACGUAGGUGGCAAGCGUUGUCCGGAUUUACUGGGUGUAAAGGGCGUGCAGCCGGGUCUGCAAGUCAGAUGUGAAAUCCAUGGGCUCAACCCAUGAACUGCAUUUGAAACUGUAGAUCUUGAGUGUCGGAGGGGCAAUCGGAAUUCCUAGUGUAGCGGUGAAAUGCGUAGAUAUUAGGAGGAACACCAGUGGCGAAGGCGGAUUGCUGGACGAUAACUGACGGUGAGGCGCGAAAGUGUGGGGAGCAAACAGGAUUAGAUACCCUGGUAGUCCACACUGUAAACGAUGAAUACUAGGUGUGCGGGGACUGACCCCCUGCGUGCCGCAGUUAACACAAUAAGUAUUCCACCUGGGGAGUACGAUCGCAAGGUUGAAACUCAAAGGAAUUGACGGGGGCCCGCACAAGCGGUGGAUUAUGUGGUUUAAUUCGAAGCAACGCGAAGAACCUUACCAGGGUUUGACAUCCUGCUAACGAAGUAGAGAUACAUUAGGUGCCCUUCGGGGAAAGCAGAGACAGGUGGUGCAUGGUUGUCGUCAGCUCGUGUCGUGAGAUGUUGGGUUAAGU
rnacentral:rRNA from 1 species